CAGGCCUAACACAUGCAAGUCGAACGGGUGGUAGCAAUACCACUAGUGGCGCACGGGUGCGUAACGCGUAACCAACCUGCCCUUGACUGGGGGAUAGCCCGCCGAAAGGCAUUAAUACCGCAUAAACUAGCAACUCGGCAUCGAGUAACUAGUAAAGAUUUAUUGGUCAAGGAUGGGGUUGCGUGACAUUAGCUAGUUGGCGGGGUAACGGCCCACCAAGGCGACGAUGUCUAGGGGACCUGAGAGGGUGAUCCCCCACACUGGCACUGAGAUACGGGCCAGACUCCUACGGGAGGCAGCAGUAGGGAAUAUUGGGCAAUGGGCGAGAGCCUGACCCAGCCAUGCCGCGUGCCGGAUGAAGGCCUUCUGGGUUGUAAACGGCUUUUCUCAGGGAAGAAAAAGACCAUGCGUGGUACACUGACGGUACCUGAGGAAUAAGCACCGGCUAACUCCGUGCCAGCAGCCGCGGUAAUACGGAGGGUGCAAGCGUUGUCCGGAUUUAUUGGGUUUAAAGGGUGCGUAGGCGGCCCGUUAAGUCCGGGGUGAAAGCCCACAGCUCAACUGUGGAACUGCCCUGGAUACUGGCGGGCUUGAGUCCAGACGAGGUUGGCGGAAUGGAAGGUGUAGCGGUGAAAUGCAUAGAUACCUUCCAGAACCCCGAUUGCGUAGGCAGCUGACUAGGCUGGUACUGACGCUGAGGCACAAAGCUUGGGGAGCGAACAGGAUUA
rnacentral:rRNA from 1 species